UACGGAGGGUGCAAGCGUUGUCCGGAUUUAUUGGGUUUAAAGGGUGCGUAGGCGGCCAUUUAAGUCUGGGGUGAAAGCCCGUUGCUCAACAACGGAACUGCCCUGGAAACUGGAUGGCUUGAGUACAGACGAGGGUGGCGGAAUGGAUGCUGUAGCGGUGAAAUGCAUAGAUAGCAUCCAGAACCCCCGAUUGCGAAGCAGCUGCCUAGACUGUACUGACGCUGAGGCACGAAAGCGUGGGGAGCGAACAGG
rnacentral:rRNA from 1 species